CAGCACCAAAAAAAACCCCAGGACUAUUGUCACUACCAGCACCGGAAUGUCUGCCACCCCCAUUACAGCCCAAACAGAUACCAGCUCCCUUUGUUGUUCCACCAGAAUAUCUACAGAAACCAUAUUUGUCACGGAGCCAACGCUUGAAUUUUGAUUUUACUCCUUUCCAAACACCAGAGAGAGUACAAGAGUUGUG